rnacentral:lncRNA from 1 species
UCUGUAGCCGUUGGAGUCGAGGAUGAAGCCCGGCUCCCGUAGGAGUCCGGACGGAGUCUUCCUGCAAUUAAAGUUAAAGGCGAAGUCCGGCUCCCGUAGGAGUCCGGACAAGGCUUACCGGUAGCUAAUGUUGAGGACGGAGCCCGACUCCCGUAGGAGUUCGGGCGGGGCUCGCAAGGGCUAAUCCUGCCGAGAACUUCGGUCG